GCGCCAGUAGCUCAGCAGGAUAGAGCAGCCGCCUCCUAAGCGGCAGGUCGGGGAUUCGAAUUCCUUCUGGCGUGCCA
rnacentral:tRNA from 1 species